CAAAAAUCACAAAACAGUAAAAGGAAUGGAAAAUGACUUUAUUUCUUCUUCUUAAAAAAAAAAAAAGUAAAAUAAAAGCCCAUAAUUGAAUUAUAUUCUGAAACAUUUGUUUAGUAUUAUUUCCAUGCUUAAUAAAAUCAUUAUAUUUCUGCAUAAAUAAAUAAACAUUUACAAAGAGGGGGAAGAACGAGAAGAAUCAGAGACGAAGGUGUCAUUCUCUGAAUCAUUGACGACCAAUCAAUCGAUCAACAACUGAUCAAAUGGACAAUUCAUUGAUGGCCUGUAGACAUGCAGCCAAUCGUCUUCCUUCCUUCUCCAUACAUGAAAUCCCCCAUUGGGUAUUAUAUCAUAUUAUAUUUAUAUACCGCAUAAUGUAAUUAUCUCUCAGGUUCAGAAAAAUUUAACAAAAUAACAUAGCAGAUGUGUGUGUGUGUGUGUGUUUGUGGAUGCAGCCCAAAUGACAAUCUCUUCCCUACUGUACGUAGUUCACUAAGUAAUGCACUCUGUAGGGGACAGGCUGUCAUUUAGGAUGUAUAUUAUGUGUGUGUUUGUAUGUACAUAGUAAAUCACCAGGCAGCAGUCAGAAGAGUAGUUAUCCCAAAAAAAAUUACAUUUAGAAAAAAAUUCAUGUGCACAGGAAAAUCUUUGAACGAACACACCGACUGGAAAUGAGGGAAGUUAUGUUGUUUGUUUUGUUUUUAACAAAUAAAACAAAUACAUUUCAGGGAUUUAUCCAAAUGUAUCCAAUCAUAACCCCAAAAGCCUCCCCCAUUCCUUUGUGCGUUUCAGAUUGACUGACACGUAUCGGUCUCGUAUGAAAAGGAUCACACACAGAGGCUGCUCACUUACAGAUAGUAUCAAAAAGACCCAUUUCAAUAGGAGUCAAAGUAACAUGGCAUCUUUGGAAAAGUGGAUCAGGCUACACCCUUCAGACCAAUGCAUUUUGAGAAGACAGGAAUCAAGGAAAGACAAUUGAGAUUGGAUAGGUCUGUUUAGGUUAGGGGUACCGGUUCUUGUAGCAGGUUAGGUUAGGGGUACCGGUUCUUGUAGCAGGUUAGGUUAGGGGUACCGGUUCUUGUAGCAGGUUAGGUUAGGGGUACCAGUUCUUGUAGCAGGUUAGGUUAAGAGUGCCUUUUCAACACGGACACUUGAGCGAGUUGACAGGGUAGAUCAGAUCAUGCUUUUAACUAGCCUGGAAUCCAAGCUAAUAUGCUUACAGUCUUGUUUCACCAGUCUAGCUUUUAAGGUGUAGCGAGGACAACAAGACAUCAUGACCAUGUAUUCAUUGAGGAGAGAAGACUCUCCACGCUGUCACUCUCUCUGCCCUUCCACCACUUUGAAACCAGCUCAAAUUUACACAAAACACCUCCAUUUACAGGCAGGACUUAUUUUAUUAAUUGUUUUUCUGCAUGGAAUCCCAAAAAUAAUAAGUAAAGACAAACUGGAGAACACAAGAUGUGAUCAAUUCAGGAGAAAGGAGAGAAAAAAAUGUUUUGGGAGAUUUCACUUUUUUUUUUAUUUUUAUGGCAAACAAAAAGUUGUAUUCCAAAUGGCACCAGUUUCCCUAUAUAGUGCACUACUUUUGACCAGAGCCCUGUUCCCUAUAUAGUGCACUACUUUAGACCAGAGCCCUAUGGCUUAGGGUUGGUCCUAGAACUGCUACCCAGAGCUCCAUGCCCACCAGAUUCAGGGACUGUAUGAAUCCGGGGAGUCCAGAGAAGGGCAUCUGUUUUGGGCCACAAAGAUUGAGGAUAGCCCUUAACUUCCAAACCACCACUCAACAACCCCCCUUACAUAGGUGCUGCUAUAGCAAGGCUAUCCUUUAGACAAAGACACAUUUCAGAAAGACUACAGGCCUCAUCUUUCAUAAGGAUUAUAUAUCACCCUUAGCCAGCCGAUUGGCUAUCGAUGCAUAUAUAUUCCAAUCCAAGACAGUUUUAAAGUUUCCAGGAUUGAUGGACACUGUGGAGUGGGGACAUGCCCACUCACAGCAGAAGCAGUGAAGGCCAAUGACAGAGCCCAGAGAAACAGGAAGUUAGAUGGGGAUUCUAAAGCCGUAUCUAAAGGAGAACGAAGAAGAGACAGCACCUUGGGGGUAAUUCUAGAGCUGGGUCUACCUGACAGUAUACAAGGAGGGGGAUAUUUUAUAACUAUAAUCUACCCGGCACUGGAUGAGACCAGAGGAAGAAUCUAGAGCUGUACGUACUAGACAGGCAUUGGAGAGACCAGAGGAAGAAUCUAGAGCUGUACAUACUAGACAGGCAUUGGAGAGACCAGAGGAAGAGAGUAACAGAGUUUCAUAAAAGGUGUUAUGUUAAUAUACAUCAUUAUCAUUUAGGUUUAUGACAUCUAAGCAGGUGUCUGGAGAGGUUGGACUUGCGAGCAAAGCUGAGAAAGCAGUACAUACUAGACAGGCAUUGGAGACCAGAGGAAGAAUCUAGAGCUGUAUGUACAUCAGGUAGCAUAGUCAUCAUAGACUUCAGCGCCAAGAUAUUAGCCUGGUCCCAGGUCUGUUUGUGCUUUUGCCUACUCUACUGUCAGCAUUUAGCAUGACAAUUACAUAAGAAGUUGGCAAGAGAGCACAGACCUGCUACCAAGAUCCAGGAAACAGACCUGCUACCAAGAUCCAGGAAACAGACCUGCUACCAAGAUCCAGGAAACAGACCUGCUACCAAGAUCCAGGAAACAGACCUGCUACCAAGAUCCAGGAAACAGACCUGCUACCAAGAUCCAGGAAACAGACCUGCUACCAAGAUCCAGGAAACAGAGCGAAAACAGCCCUGGGUGAGCAACACAUGAGCAGGAAAACACACCAAUGCGUUUUAUACAAGGGAAUUACGACAGUGGAAAUUGUGGCCAUUUGUCCAAAAGAUGUUAACCCCACACCUAUUUCACCUGAGCCCCAAUAGUUACACUGACAUCCUUUCAUAAAGCAAUCUGGGAACUAGAGUGUUAUCAAACCAGUAGUGGCUUGUCCAUUUUACACUCCAUGUGUCCCAAAAAGUAUUUAACAAUAAAGUAACCCUUGGCAAUAAGGUUCAGAAUGUGAACCAGUAACAACCUGGACACAGACUGUUCAGAACACCGUGAAACACCGUGAAACACCGUGAAACACCAUUAUGGGAGUUGUCUUACACUCAACAAGACAUCAUCCCUUGACACCAGAAGUUACUUGGACAUCCUUUCAUAUGACAUCUUGAAAUUUGGGAGGAAAAUUGACAGAGCAUUGCUUUAGAACAAUACAUAACGAGUAAUGACAUUAUGAUUAAAAAAAUAUAUAAAAAUAAAAAUUGACAUUAUUACCACCAGAAUUAUCCCAGAAAAAUCUAACAUUGUUCAGUAUGUGUUUCUGCAUGUGUAUGUGUGUGUAACGUGCUACAUGCAUGUGUGUACAUCUGUAUGUACACGUUAUUGCAUGCCUGUGUGUGUGUGUGUGUGUGUGUGUGUGUGUGUGUGUGUGUGUAAGCAUGAAUCCGUCAAAAUUCGAGGGCACAGCAGGAUGAGGAAACUGUUUUUACAAGAUACAGACGCAGUAGAGAGGAGGGGAUAGAAACAUUUUACAUCAGGAAUGUUCCCAAAUGGCAACCUAUUCUCUAAAUACUGUAGGCCCCUACUUUUAACCAGGGCCCUUAGGGCAGUAGUGCACUUUUAACCAGGGCCCUUAGGGCAGUAGUGCACUUGAUAGGGAACAGGGUGCCAUUUCAGAUGCGCUCAACAGUUCUCUAGCUCUCUCCAUGGACAGACAACAAUACAUAAGAAGCAGCCGAGAGUUGGGAGGAUGGUGAGGGUAGAGGGGUGUCCUUAAUGUUUUCUAUGCAGUCUGAUUGAUGGUAGGAUGAUGGUGAGGGUAGAGGGGUGUCCUUAAUGUUUUCUAUCCAGUCUGAUUGAUGGUAGGAUGAUGGUGAGGGUAGAGGGGUGUCCUUAAUGUUUUCUAUCCAGUCUGAUGGUAGAAUGAUGGUGAGGGUAGAGGGGUGUCCUUAAUGUUUUCUAUCCAGUCUGAUGGUAGGAUGAUGGUGAGGGUAGAGGGGUGUCCUUAAUGUUUUCUAUCCAGUCUGAUUGAUGGUAGGAUGAUGGUGAGGGUAGAGGGGUGUCCUUAAUGUUUUCUAUCCAGUCUGAUUGAUGGUAGGAGGAUGGUGAGGGUAGAGGGGUGUCCUUAAUGUUUUCUAUCCAGUCUGAUGGUAGAAUGAUGGUGAGGGUAGAGGGGUGUCCUUAAUGUUUUCUAUCCAGUCUGAUGGUAGGAUGAUGGUGAGGGUAGAGGGGUGUCCUUAAUGUUUUCUAUCCAGUCUGAUGGUAGGAUGAUGGUGAGGGUAGAGGGGUGUCCUUAAUGUUUUCUAUCCAGUCUGAUGGUAGAAUGAUGGUGAGGGUAGAGGGGUGUCCUUAAUGUUUUCUAUCCGGUCUGAUUGAUGGUAGGAUGAUGGUGAGGGUAGAGGAGUGUCCUUAAUGUUUUCUAUCCAGUCUGAUUGAUGGUAGGAUGAUGGUGAGGGUAGAGGGGUGUCCUUAAUGUUUUCUAUCCAGUCUGAUUGAUGGUAGGAUGAUGGUGAGGGUAGAGGGGUGUCCUUAAUGUUUUCUAUGCAGUCUGAUUGAUGGUAGGAUGAUGGUGAGGGUAGAGGGGUGUCCUUAAUGUUUUCUAUCCAGUCUGAUUGAUGGUAGGAGGAUGGUGAGGGUAGAGGGGUGUCCUUAAUGUUUUCUAUCCAGUCUGAUGGUAGAAUGAUGGUGAGGGUAGAGGGGUGUCCUUAAUGUUUUCUAUCCAGUCUGAUGGUAGGAUGAUGGUGAGGGUAGAGGGGUGUCCUUAAUGUUUUCUAUCCAGUCUGAUGGUAGAAUGAUGGUGAGGGUAGAGGGGUGUCCUUAAUGUUUUCUAUCCAGUCUGAUGGUAGAAUGAUGGUGAGGGUAGAGGGGUGUCCUUAAUGUUUUCUAUCCAGUCUGAUUGAUGGUAGGAUGAUGGUGAGGGUAGAGGGGUGUCCUUAAUGUUUUCUAUCCAGUCUGAUUGAUGGUAGGAUGAUGGUGAGGGUAGAGGGGUGUCCUUAAUGUUUUCUAUGCAGUCUGAUUGAUGGUAGGAUGAUGGUGAGGGUAGAGGGG
ensembl:lncRNA